rnacentral:rRNA from 1 species
UACGUAGGGACCAAGCGUUGUUCGGAUUUACUGGGCGUAAAGGGCGCGUAGGCGGCAAUUCAAGUCAUCUGUGAAAUCUCCGGGCUUAACUCGGAACGGUCAGAUGAUACUGCUUUGCUAGAGUGCGGAAGGGGCAAUCGGAAUUCUCGGUGCAGCGGUGAAAUGCGUAGAUAUCGAGAGGAACACCUGAGGUGAAGACGGGUUGCUGGGCCGACACUGACGCUGACAGCGCGAAAGCCAGGGGAGCAAACGGG